rnacentral:rRNA from 1 species
UACGGAGGAUCCGAGCGUUAUCCGGAUUUAUUGGGUUUAAAGGGUGCGUAGGCGGGGGAUUAAGUCAGCGGUGAAAGUUUGGCGCUCAACGUUAAAAUUGCCGUUGAUACUGGUUCCCUUGGGUUCGGUCGAGGCAGGCGGAACGUGGCGUGUAGCGGUGAAAUGCUUAGAUAUGCCACAGAACACCGAUUGCGAAGGCAGCUUGCUAGAGCGAUACCGACGCUGAUGCACGAAAGCGCGGGGAUCGAAC